CCCGGGUUCUCUGCCAGGAAGUGCGGCCCCGGUGGCCCAGGAGGGCGAAGAAGCCUCUCAAGUCGCCCCAGGCCGCCGGCCAGGCCCCUUCUGGUACCACCCCCCUGCCCGUCCUGUAUCAUCACCCUGAAGCCUGGCUGACUGAGAACAAAGGUGUAAAGAAAACUGUGCAGUGACUGUCAGGAGACCUGGGUCCUGAUUCCAGUUCCAACGCACGUUCGCUGUGUUGCAUGGACCAGACGCCUACCGUCCCUGAGCUGUAUCCUCACGGGAGCUCUGCCCUCAGGCGGCUACAGGAAAGGGGCCCACGUGUGCUGCAGAAUGGGAAGUGGCUUUGCCCCGUGUUCCAGUGCAGGCCGGGGACCAAGCGUGUCGAUCUUGAAGCAGUGGCCCCACCAGGAGAGGUGGGCAGGCUCAUCUGGAGCCCCCAGGGCAGAUGCUUAUUGUGGGUUUGCGGAGCAGGAUGGACCAGGCCGUGUGUCCAGGUGCCACCCGCCAGUGGAUGUCAUGAUUACCCAUUACUGGAGGGAGCUUGCGUCCACAGUCUGCCGGCCCCCUAAGGUAAAGCCAAAGCCCCCAGCCCUGGGCUGACAUCUUUUCUAUAUUGGUGAAGGAGGAGGGGAGCAGCCCAGAGUCUGUUUGGCUGCAUAAGGCUCGAUCGAAAGCACAAAACCUGAAGCCAGACACAAAUAGUGGCUUUGACCGUUGUUUCAAACCAGUUCAAACCGGAAAAAGCUGCUUGCCUUUCCAGCUCUGCUCCUAAUGGCUUCUUCUCUGGGAAACAGAGUUCCUGGUGCCUGAGAAAUUGGUCCAUGCCCGAAGCAGGAGGAUAGGUGUCUGCCUGAAACAAUUCCACGACUAACGUGGGGCGGAAGGAACACCUCCACAGCCCUUUCUGUCUUUUAUUUCUUCUUCCAAGCCAACAUUGUCCAAAUCCCGACAGGAAGAGGGCACAACCCACAUAUGUAGGCACGUUUUAGAAAGUAAAACAACACAGAUGAAAUGAAUUUUAAUGAUACAUUUUAUUUAAUUCAAUCUAUUAAAAACUAUUACUUCAACAUGUAA